GUUAUAGUAUUAAGACUCCAGCUUUAUUAAUUAAAGCAAGAUAUGUGUAUGUUCGAAGGGCUUAUAUUGCCUACGAACUUAACAGUGUACAACACCGCCAGCUUAAGGACAACACCUGUGUGGUGGAAUUCCAGUUCAUGCUGCCCACAUCUCAUCCAAACAGAGGGAACAUCCCUACGCUAAACAGAAUGUCCUUCUCCUCCAACCUCAACCACUAUGGCAUGACCCAUGUAGCUAGUGUCAGCGAUGUACUGUUGGACAACUCAUUCACUCCACCUUGUCAGCGGAUGGGCGGAAUGGUCUCUUUUCGGACUUUUGAAGAUUUUGUCAGGAUCUUUGAUGAAGUGAUGGGCUGCUUCUCUGACUCCCCACCCCAGAGUCCCACAUUCCCGGAGGCGGGUCACACGUCUCUUUAUGAUGAAGAUAAGGUUCCCAGGGAUGAACCAAUUCACAUUCUCAAUGUGGCUAUCAAGACUGACUGUGAUAUUGAGGAUGACAGGCUGGCAGCUAUGUUCAGAGAAUUUACCCAGCAAAAUAAAGCUACCCUGGUUGACCAUGGGAUCCGGCGCCUUACUUUCCUGGUUGCACAAA
rnacentral:sRNA from 1 species